rnacentral:rRNA from 1 species
AUACGUAGGGGGCGAGCGUUGUCCGGAAUGAUUGGGCGUAAAGGGCGCGUAGGCGGCCUGUUAAGUCUGGAGUGAAAGUCCUGUUUUCAAGAUGGGAAUUGCUUUGGAUACUGAUGGGCUUGAGUGCAGGAGAGGUCAUCGGAAUUCCCGGUGUAGCGGUGAAAUGCGAAGAGAUCGGGAGGAACACCAGUGGCGAAGGCGGGUAACUGGACUGCAACUGACGCUGAGGCGCGAAAGUGUGGGGAGCAAACAGGAUUAGAUACCCUGGUAGUCCACACUGUAAACGAUGAAUGCUAGGUGUAAGAGGUAUCGACCCCUUUUGUGCCGGAGUUAACACAAUAAGCAUUCCGCCUGGGGAGUACGGCCGCAAGGUUGAAACUCAAAGGAAUUGACGGGG